rnacentral:lncRNA from 1 species
AAUUUUGACUUUUCUUCCUUAAAUGAACAUGCAAUGUGUGUUGACUUCUUAUCUAUGUGCUCCAUACUUCAAGACAACAAACAUAUGCCUUCCACAUCAACUAAAACCGUCCACCACCCUUUGCAUGCAGCAAAAAUUAUGGUUCCACACACCAAGGCUCAUAAAUCACGUGAACAAUGCAAAGGGUUACAAGAGAAAUUGCUUCCAAACCAAAGGGUAAAAGGAUUCAACCUCAAAUGCUACUUCCAAUGUGCCAAGUAAGCAAAACCCAAGGAAAAAAAACAACAAACACUCCAUUCCCUUAGCCAUUCUCGGUCAAAACAAGGAUUAAGACAAAACUUAAAGAGGAAAUGUUCCCUUAGCAAAAGUAGCUCCAUGUGUGCUUGGCCAAAUCGGGUAAAAAAUUAAUUACACCUUCUCUCUUCCUUCUCCACUCCAUUUUCGUUUUUCUUCAACAAACAAGCUUUCAAAUUGUUUCUUCCCAUCUCCAAACCGUGAACACACUCCAAGGAACCCAAAGCUCAAUUGCAAAAUGAUUCAAGAACAAUAAACCAAGUUCUACCUUCAUAAAUCCAACUUCAAAACACACUUUUCUUCAACUUUUUGACCCAAACAAAACCAAACCCCUAUGCUUCCUAUGCAAUAUCGUCCAGCCACCAUCAUCAAGCACAAAGUCCAGCUCCAAAUUUGUUUCCCAACAUCAAAAACAAAAUGCUAGAAGAAAAUGGCUCAAGAAUACAAUACCCAUGCACCAACUUAAGCCUUUUUCACUACCAAACUUGACAACAACUCCAUUUUCAUCCUCCAAUCCAAGAAACUCAAGGUAAAAACGAGAUUACUGCAGCAAAAUGAGGAGAAAACCGAAAUGGACAAUGGGUCUUCCUUCCACCAAAGAAACCACCAUGAAAAAGCAAAGAAGAAGCUUCAAACUCAAGCAUUCAACCUUCAAAACGAAAAUCUAAAGAGAGAAAUGGUAGAGCUUCAUUCAAUCAAGCAAGAACAAACGUUGUUGCAAACAAUAGAAGAAGAAAAACGAAAAGGG